rnacentral:rRNA from 1 species
UCGACGAUGAUCCCGCUUGCUGGGGGAUUAGUGGCGAACGGGUGAGUAACACGUGAGUAACCUGCCCUUAACUCUGGGAUAAGCCUGGGAAACUGGGUCUAAUACCGGAUAUGACUCCUCAUCGCAUGGUGGGGGGUGGAAAGCUUUAUUGUGGUUUUGGAUGGACUCGCGGCCUAUCAGCUUGUUGGUGAGGUAAUGGCUCACCAAGGCGACGACGGGUAGCCGGCCUGAGAGGGUGACCGGCCACACUGGGACUGAGACACGGCCCAGACUCCUACGGGAGGCAGCAGUGGGGAAUAUUGCACAAUGGGCGAAAGCCUGAUGCAGCGACGCCGCGUGAGGGAUGACGGCCUUCGGGUUGUAAACCUCUUUCAGUAGGGAAGAAGCGAAAGUGACGGUACCUGCAGAAGAAGCGCCGGCUAACUACGUGCCAGCAGCCGCGGUAAUACGUAGGGCGCAAGCGUUAUCCGGAAUUAUUGGGCGUAAAGAGCUCGUAGGCGGUUUGUCGCGUCUGCCGUGAAAGUCCGGGGCUCAACUCCGGAUCUGCGGUGGGUACGGGCAGACUAGAGUGAUGUAGGGGAGACUGGAAUUCCUGGUGUAGCGGUGAAAUGCGCAGAUAUCAGGAGGAACACCGAUGGCGAAGGCAGGUCUCUGGGCAUUAACUGACGCUGAGGAGCGAAAGCAUGGGGAGCGAACAGGAUUAGAUACCCUGGUAGUCCAUGCCGUANACGUUGGGCACUAGGUGUGGGGGNCAUUCCACGUUUUCCGCGCC